UACGUAGGGUGCGAGCGUUAAUCGGAAUUACUGGGCGUAAAGAGCUCGUAGGCGGUUCGUCGCGUCGGCUGUGAAAACCUGAGGCUCAACCUCAGGCCUGCAGUCGAUACGGGCGGACUUGAGUACUGCAGGGGAGACUGGAAUUCCUGGUGUAGCGGUGAAAUGCGCAGAUAUCAGGAGGAACACCGGUGGCGAAGGCGGGUCUCUGGGCAGUAACUGACGCUGAGGAGCGAAAGCGUGGGGAGCGAACAGG
rnacentral:rRNA from 1 species